rnacentral:lncRNA from 1 species
GAACACACAAGAUGAUCCAAUAAAAAAAACAAUACAAACAUAAAAUAAAAUUAUGGGCAUGUUCGUCUAAUCAUUCAACAUUUUUUUUUUUUUUUUUCGUCUGAAUAAUUCAUGAAAAAGAGCCAAAGUCGAAAUACAAGGAUGUGAUACAUGGAGAAAUACUAAAGCCGGCGGGACUUUAACCCCCGGAAACUAAGCCGGCGGGACUUUAACCCCCAGAAACUAAGCCCCAAACAGACGGGGAAACAAACAAAACACUAAAACAGAUCUAAACAAGAUUGGAAAUUUUACACAGAAAAACAAUAAUCUUUUUACCCGAACAAACCGAGAUCGCAAAAACUAUCAGGUUGACACAAAGGAACAGACCACAACCUAAAAAGCCUUUGAUCAACUUGCCUCACUUGAUGAUUAAGAGUCUUCAGAAGAAAAAACCUUGGGAUACCUUGAGAAGCGGAACGGUGGAACCUCAGCCCAACAAGCAGAGACCGUUGAAAUCGCAGUGGCCGGAUAUGUCAAGUAAACGACUUGAACCGGUAAGAGGAACCCAAACCUGGGCGGAUCUCGCCCUAGAUCCGAUCGUUGGAGCUGUGUGAGGAAACCCAAAAAAUUGGGUCACCCAAACCGAAUCACCACCACACCGACAGUGAGUGGCUUAGAGCCAUCGCGGUUUGGGCCAAGGAAGCUCAGCUAAAAAAGAGAAUUGAAAUCUGCAACAAAAACAAACCAACCAAACCCUAGAUCUAAAAGGAGAAGAGAAAGGGAAGGAAUCGAAAAAUCGAAACCAAACCAGAGAUCUCUUCCCAUAAGAAACCAUAGCUAGCUAACUAAGCAGAAACCCAAAAGCCGAAUCGACGUUGUGGCCAUGGUGGCCCACACACGCCGAUCGGAAGCGAAGAACUUAAGCGGUGGCGAGAAAGAAAAGAGAGAGAUAAGGGAGAGAAAUUUUGGAAGAGAGAGAGAUUUUUUUUUGGAUGGAACAUUU